CUUUAAUAUUCAUUUUACGAUAUUGGAGAUCUAGAGUUGGACAUUUUCGAUCUAAAACAAGCAAUCGCAGAAAAGCUACAUGUAUGGUACCGUGUGAAGGUCAUUCGAAAUAUACAAAAGUAUACACGAAUACAAUUAGCGAUGAAAACUAAGAUCAACUGACUGUGGCAUCAAUAUUUAAUGUUUAUGUAGCUUUUGAAAUGUAAAACUAAUACUUUUUUUUUUGUAAACACAUUUGUUUUUAAGAUAAAGUUUAUUGUUUUAUUUCUAUUGUAUUUUUAAAAAAAAUACCUAUAUGGUCCAAAUACUCAUAUGGUCCGGCCCGUUAAUAACCAAAC
rnacentral:lncRNA from 1 species